rnacentral:rRNA from 1 species
CAGCCGCCGCGGGAAUACGGAGGGCGCGAGCGUUACCCGGAUUUACUGGGCGUAAAGGGCGUGUAGGCGGCCUGGGGCGUCCCAUGUGAAAGGCCACGGCUCAACCGUGGAGGAGCGUGGGAUACGCUCAGGCUAGAGGGUGGGAGAGGGUGGUGGAAUUCCCGGAGUAGCGGUGAAAUGCGCAGAUACCGGGAGGAACGCCGAUGGCGAAGGCAGCCACCUGGUCCACUUCUGACGCUGAGGCGCGAAAGCGUGGGGAGCAAACCGGAUUAGAGACCCCUGUAGUCCCUGUCUCUUAUAC